rnacentral:rRNA from 1 species
GAUGAACGCUGGCGGCGUGCCUAAUACAUGCAAGUCGAGCGAACAGACGAGGAGCUUGCUCCUCUGACGUUAGCGGCGGACGGGUGAGUAACACGUGGAUAACCUACCUAUAAGACUGGGAUAACUUCGGGAAACCGGAGCUAAUACCGGAUAAUAUAUUGAACCGCAUGGUUCAAUAGUGAAAGACGGUUUUGCUGUCACUUAUAGAUGGAUCCGCGCCGCAUUAGCUAGUUGGUAAGGUAACGGCUUACCAAGGCAACGAUGCGUAGCCGACCUGAGAGGGUGAUCGGCCACACUGGAACUGGAACACGGUCCAGACUCCUACGGGAGGCAGCAGUAGGGAAUCUUCCGCAAUGGGCGAAAGCCUGACGGAGCAACGCCGCGUGAGUGAUGAAGGUCUUCGGAUCGUAAAACUCUGUUAUUAGGGAAGAACAAAUGUGUAAGUAGCUAUGCACGUCUUGACGGUACCUAAUCAGAAAGCCACGGCUAACUACGUG